GCCGAGUGUGGUGGCAGGUGCCUGUAGUCCCAGCUACUUGGGAGGCUGAGGUAGAAGAAUGGUGUGAAGCUGGGAGGCAGAGCUUGCAGUGAGCCGAGAUUGUGCCACUGCACUCCAGCCUGGNNNNNNNNNNUUUUUUUUUUUUUUUGAGACUGAGUCUCACUCUGUCACCCAGGCUGGAGUGCAGUGGCACAAUCUCGGCUCACUGCAAGCUCUGCCUCCCAGCUUCACACCAUUCUUCUACCUCAG
rnacentral:SRP_RNA from 1 species